rnacentral:rRNA from 1 species
CCAGACUCCUACGGGAGGCAGCAGUGGGGAAUAUUGGGCAAUGGGGGAAACCCUGACCCAGCGACGCCGCGUGAGGGAAGAAGGUUUUCGGAUUGUAAACCUCUGUCCUUGGUGACGAUAAUGACGGUAGCCAAGGAGGAAGCCACGGCUAACUACGUGCCAGCAGCCGCGGUAAUACGUAGGUGGCAAGCGUUGUCCGGAAUUACUGGGUGUAAAGGGAGCGUAGGCGGGAAAGCAAGUUGAAUGUUUAAGGUACGGGCUCAACCUGUACAAGCGUUCAAAACUGUUUUUCUUGAGUGGAGUAGAGGUAAGCGGAAUUCCUAGUGUAGCGGUGAAAUGCGUAAAUAUUAGGAGGAACACCAGUGGCGAAGGCGGCUUACUGGGCUUUAACUGACGCUGAGGCACGAAAGCGUGGGUAGCAAACAGGAUUAGAUACCCUAGUA